UGGCUCAGUGGUAGAGUACUUGCCUUCCAUGCAUGAAGCCCUGGGUUCGAUCCCUCAG
rnacentral:tRNA from 1 species